AGUGAGAGAGAGAACCCCGAAAGUGAGAGAGAGAACCCCAAAAGUGAGAGAGAGAACCCCAAAAGUCAGGUACGGCAACCCAAAGGGAGGGGGAGAGCCCCAGAGUGAGAGAGAGAACCCCAAAAUGAAGGAGAGAGCCCCAGGGUCAGGGACGGCACCCCAAAGGGAGGGGGGGAACCCCAAAAUGAGGGAUGGCACCCCAAAGUGAAGGAGAGAGCCCCAGGGUCAGGUACGGCACCCCAAAGGGAGGGGGGAACCCCAAAGGGAGGGGGAGAGCCCCAGGGUCAGGGACAGCACCCCAAAAGUGAGAGAGAGAACCCCAAAGGGAGAGAGAGAACCCCAGG